ACCUGCAUUCGAAAGUGAUCGUGGUCUGUUGUGUGAUCCGGUCAUUGAUAGUGCAGGGAGAGCGAUGUGAAAGCGUUUCCCGUGUUUGGAUGGGGCUGUGCCAUCCCUUCCGAACCCUGUUGCGUUCAGACA
ensembl:snoRNA SNORA71 Small nucleolar RNA SNORA71